rnacentral:rRNA from 1 species
GCGAGGCCGAAAGGCGUAGUCGAUGGGAAACGGGUUAAUAUUCCCGUACUUCUUACAAUUGCGAUGGGGGGACGGAGAAGGCUAGGUGGGCCUGGCGACGGUUGUCCAGGUUCAAGUGCGUAGGCUUAAGAGUUAGGUAAAUCCGGCUCUUUCUAAGGCUGAGACACGACGUCGAGCACCUACGGGUGUGAAGUCAUUGAUGCCAUGCUUCCAGGAAAAGCCUCUAAGCUUCAGAUUGUAAGGAAUCGUACCCCAAACGACACAGGUGGUCGGGUAGAGAAUACCAAGGCGCUUGAGAGAACUCGGGUGAAGGAACUAGGCAAAAUGGUACCGUAACUUCGGGAGAAGGUACGCUCUUGAUGGUGAAGUCCCUCGCGGAUGGAGCUGACGAGAGUCGCAGAUACCAGGUGGCUGCAACUGUUUAUUAAAAACACAGCACUGUGCAAAAUCGUAAGAUGACGUAUACGGUGUGACGCCUGCCCGGUGCCGGAAGGUUAAUUGAUGGGGUUAGACUUC